UACGGAGGAUCCAAGCGUUAUCCGAAUCAUUGGGUUUAAAGGGUCCGUAGGCGGUUUAAUAAGUCAGUGGUGAAAGCCCAUCGCUCAACGGUGGAACGGCCAUUGAUACUGUUAAACUUGAAUUAUUAGGAAGUAACUAGAAUAUGUAGUGUAGCGGUGAAAUGCUUAGAGAUUACAUGGAAUACCAAUUGCGAAGGCAGGUUACUACUAAUGGAUUGACGCUGAUGGACGAAAGCGUGGGUAGCGAACAGG
rnacentral:rRNA from 1 species